rnacentral:rRNA from 1 species
UCCGUAGGCGGAUUGGUAAGUCAGAGGUGAAAUCCCACAGCUUAACUGUGGAACUGCCUUUGAAACUGUUAGUCUUGAGUUAUAUGGAAGUAGAUAGAAUGUGUAGUGUAGCGGUGAAAUGCGUAGAGAUUACACAGAAUACCGAUUGCGAAGGCAGUCUACUACGUAUAUACUGACGCUAAUGGACGAAAGCGUGGGGAGCGAACAGGAUUAGAUACCCUGGUAGUCC